UACGUAGGGGGCUAGCGUUGUCCGGAAUCAUUGGGCGUAAAGAGCGUGUAGGCGGCCCGGUAAGUCCGCUGUAAAAGUCAAAGGCUCAACCUUUGAAUGUCAGUGGAUACUGCCGGGCUAGAGUCCGGAAGAGGCGAGUGGAACUCCUGGUGUAGCGGUGGAAUGCGCAGAUAUCAGGAGGAACACCGAUGGCGAAGGCAGAUCUCUGGGCCGCUACUGACGCUGAGGAGCGAAAGCAUGGGGAGCGAACAGG
rnacentral:rRNA from 1 species